ACGGCCACCUCACGUUGAAACACCGAUUCUCUUCGAUCACCGAAGUUCAGCAACGUCGAACCUUGUCAGUACUUAGAUGAGUGACCGCUUGGCAAUACCAAGUGUUGUAA